AUUGAACGCUGGCGGCAUGCCCUACACAUGCAAGUCGAACGGCAGCACGGGAGCAAUCCUGGUGGCGAGUGGCGAACGGGUGAGUAAUAUAUCGGAACGUGCCCAGUCGUGGGGGAUAACGUAGCGAAAGCUACGCUAAUACCGCAUACGAUCUAUGGAUGAAAGCGGGGGAUCGCAAGACCUCGCGCGAUUGGAGCGGCCGAUAUCAGAUUAGGUAGCUGGUGAGGUAAUGGCUCACCAAGCCGACGAUCUGUAGCUGGUCUGAGAGGACGACCAGCCACACUGGGACUGAGACACGGCCCAGACUCCUACGGGAGGCAGCAGUGGGGAAUUUUGGACAAUGGGCGCAAGCCUGAUCCAGCAAUGCCGCGUGCGGGAUGAAGGCCUUCGGGUUGUAAACUGCUUUUGUACGGAACGAAACGGCGAGCUCUAAUACAGUUUGCUAAUGACGGUACCGUAAGAAUAAGCACCGGCUAACUACGUGCCAGCCGCCGCCGUAA
rnacentral:rRNA from 1 species